rnacentral:rRNA from 1 species
GAUCCUGGCUCAGAAUCAACGCUGGCGGCGUGCCUAACACAUGCAAGUCGAACGAGAAAGUGGAGCAAUCCAUGAGUAAAGUGGCGCACGGGUGAGUAACACGUGACUAACCUACCCUUGAGUGGGGGAUAACCUCGGGAAACCUUGGCUAAUACCGCAUAACACCUACGGGUCAAAGGAGCAAUUCGCUUAAGGAGGGGGUCGCGGCAGAUUAGUUAGUUGGCAGGGUAAUGGCCUACCAAGACAGUGAUCUGUAUCCGGCCUGAGAGGGCGCACGGACACACUGGAACUGAAAUACGGUCCAGACUCCUACGGGAGGCAGCAGUGGGGAAUUUUGCGCAAUGGGGGAAACCCUGACGCAGCAACGCCGCGUGGAGGAUGAAGUCCCUUGGGACGUAAACUCCUUUCGACCGGGACGAUAAUGACGGUACCGGAAGAAGAAGCCCCGGCUAACUUCGUGCCAGCAGCCGCGGUAAUACGAGGGGGGCGAGCGUUGCUCGGAAUUAUUGGGCGUAAAGGGUGCGUAGGCGGUUCGGUAAGUUUCGUGUGAAAUCUUCGGGCUCAACUCGAAGUCUGCACGAGAUACUGCCGGGCUUGAGUGCGGGAGAGGUGAGUGGAAUUUCCGGUGUAGCGGUGAAAUGCGUAGAUAUCGGAAGGAACACCUGUGGCGAAAGCGGCUCACUGGACCAU